AACCCACGUGGAAUUUUAAACCGGAUUGCUUCUCUCCAUUACGCUUCCAAGUUCCAAGUUUUAAAAACAUGUCGUGUGAAUUCCUUGCAAAGAUAUUCUAAUUACCCAAUCUUUGCAUUCUUUAUGCGUGUUUUAAUCCAAAUCUCUCUGGAUCCUUAUCAGAAUUUCAAAACAACAACCAUUCGAAGAAUUGAGAGUUGUGAACACAACAUUUUUUGGUGAGGUUCCAUAUUCAAUGGGGAAUUCCUUACCAACUUAGGGUAUAAGAUCUUGUAGUUUUUCAGAAUUGAUUCCGCCUUCACUUGGUAAUCUUAUCAAGAUUACUCAUCUUUACUUAUAUAACAGCAAAUUUUCAGGGAUUAUGAGUACUAUGAAGAGUUCAGUGUCUAAACUGAAAAUCAAAGUAACAGGCAUUGAAAUCCUUGACAAUGAUGCAAAUAAGCUGCAAGUAUUCAGUUUUAUAGCCGUUAAAGCGGCUACGAAUAACUUUUCGAAUGAUAAUAAGCUUGGCUAGGGUGGAUAUGGACCUGUGUACAAGGUAAUACUUGCAGAUUGUUACAUGUUAGGAACUGAUUUAAGAGUUGCAGCUGAUGCCAAUUAUGGGGCUGUUCAUGAUAUUCUUAAACUAUUGGGUUAAUAGAGUGUUUUCUUUAGAAGAGUAGUGGCUUAAUACUGAAGGGACAAGAAAUAGCAAUAAAGAGGUUUUCAGAAACUUCUCAUCAAGGACUUAAAGAGUUCAAGAAGGAAGUUGAGCUUACUGCAAGGCUUCAGCAUGUAAAUCUAGUACUAGUCUUGGGAAUUUGCACAAAAGCUUGGAUUUAUGCACCUUUGGCAUGCCACUUUAUGUUUCCCACCGUCCUCUAUAUAUCCUUAUUUGGGUUCAAAUAGCUUCUCUAAGUGCAAUACUAAAAAAUGAAUUAUGUAUCUGCAAAUUCUGACAAACGGUAUCUUUUAGACUGAAAAAAACGUGUUUGAAUCAUUGAAGAUACUCAAAGAUUUUUAUAUUUGCAAGAAUACUCAAAGUUUACAAUAGUUCAUAUAGACUUAAAGGUCAACAAUAUUUCGUUGUAUAACGAAAUGAAUCCCAAAAUUUCAAAUUUUGACAUGGCUAGAGCUUUCAAAAAAGAUGAAUGCAAAACUAACCCAGAUGGCAUUGCUGGAAUAUAGUAAGUAAUUCAUUUGCCUAAGUUGAUAUGUGACAAGUGUCAUGCUUGAAUAAUGGCCUUUUCUUUGCUAUGCUGAAUUGCAGUGGCUACAUUCCUCUUGAAUUUGUAAGAAAAGGUGUAUACUCCAUAAAGUAUGAUGUUUAUAGCUAUGGAGUUCUUCUGCAGAUCAUUAGUGGCAAGAAGACUGCAUGCUAUUAUAGCUCCAGUGAAACUUUAAACCUUGAGGAAUAUGAAAAUAAUUUUUUUAUACUAAAAUUAGAAGACAAAAUUUCAGUCUGAUGUAAAAUUUGGUAUGUUUCAGGGGUAUGAGUUGUUCAGAGAAGGUGAAAGCAUGAAGUUUUUCGAUUCAUCACUGGAUGAUUCUUCUUCUCCAUUGAAACUGAAGAGAUGCAUGCAAGUAGCUUUACUAUGUGUUCAGGAAAUUCCUGCGGAUAGACCUAUCAUGGUCAGAAUUUAUAACAUGCUCAAAGGUGAAAGUGCUAACAUCCCUUCUCCAAGGAAGCCUGCUUUUUCUGUUUAAAGAGAUGAACAUGAGUCUAGUAAUUGCACCUUCAAGGAAAAAAUAUUUUCAGUCAAUGAUACAACAAUUACUCAACUUGAGCCACGAUGAGUCGAGGGCUAAUCUUCAAAGAUAUUCAAGUAAUUGUAGAUUCUUUAUUAUGUAUGGCACUACCUGUAAAACACUGUUGUAAUUGCUUUGAUUCCUGGUAAGCAGAGGAGAAUGCAGGGUUCCAACGAGAUAGUCAGGCUUUUCAUUCUUUUAUUUUUUGUCCCAUGUAAUGUUACAGAGAAUUGUUUAAUUUUUUUUUCACCCUUAAA